AAUAAACCGUUGAACAAGAAUAGUAGGGUUUAUCAAGCGUAUUAAGAGAGCUGAUGUUUGGUGUAAAUCAGUUAUGCAGAUUUACUUGAAUGGGCUUGCAAGGGUAGCAGGAAACCGAAUUGUUUCGGGAGUAAUGGCUGACGGGAACUCUGUCCGUUAUCAGUAGAGUGCGUAUGAAGUACGCAAAAUGAGUGGGUUUCUUUUAUAAAUGACCAAUUUGGGUGGUACCGCAGAAGUUUCAGAGCUUUUGUCCCAAGG
rnacentral:ncRNA from 1 species